UUGUUAGAGAGAUAUCCUCUGCUGAUUGUGUAACUGAAGAGAGAUUUCCUCUUCUCAAUCAAAACUGAUUGAGUAACCGAAGAUCAGUUUUGAUUCUUAGUAAUUAUAGUUUUUAAUGCUAUUUAUAAUUCUGGUAACAGUCAAACAAAUUCUGCUAUAUAUAUAGCUGUAUAUUGUAAACAGAGGUAAUAAGAAAAACCAUUUUCUACAUGGUAUCAGCCUAAACCUACGAUCCUCACCUAUUUCUCUCUUCUUUUAAGUGUUUUUCUUCCUUUUCUGUUUUUCUUUCUCAUGGCCACCAUCUCUUCGGUUCUCUCUCAAAAUACUGCUCAAUUCACCAAACUUACUGAAACCAAUUAUCUCACCUGGCUUCGGCAAAUCAAGCCCUAUCUUCACGGUGCCAAACUUUGGGGAUAUGUUGAUGGCACCAUUCCUGAACCAUCUCUCACCAUCCUGACUACUGACACUCCAUCUGCAAGAUCCAUUCCUAAUCCUGAUCAUGCUAGCUGGUUCAUCAUCGACCAACAAAUUGUUAGCAUCCUCACCACCACUCUGACAGAAAACAUUGCACAGCUUACCAUUGGUUUCGACACAUCAAAGGCAAUUUGGGACUGUCUUGAACGUCACUUUUCCCAAAAGUCUGUAGCAAGUGCAACCAAUCUCAAAAUGCAACUUCUUGAUCUCAAUAAAGGCACUCAAUCUGUUGACACUUAUCUUCGUCAUGCUAAAUCCAUUGCUGAUGCUUUGAUUUCUAUUAACAAGCCUGUUCCUGAUGAGGAUUUAGUCAUCGCCACUCUUCAUGGUCUUGGCCCUGAUUAUCUCAUGCUUCGUACUGUCCUCACUCAAAAUCCUCCUCUCCCAGAUUUCACUGAACUUCGGGCUCGAAUUCUUUCUUUUGAUGCUCAACAAUCUCGUCCUGCUGAUUCUCCUACAGCCAUCGCUCUUUUCAAUCACCAUCAAACUCCUACCCGUCGUGAUCACCGCCCUAAUACCAGCCACCAAUUUCCCACCAGUGGUCGUCCCAACAAUGGUCGCUUCAGACGUGGUCGCUAUUCUCAGCAACGCACCACUCAACAGUCACAGGUUGGGUCUUCUUUUCCUAUGCAACAGCAACAUGUGCCUCCAUUGGGGCCAUUUACUUCACCAGCUUGGGCUGCUCGUCCUCCACCAAAUGGUAUUCUUGGCCCAGCACCUCAAUGGUGUCCCAAUUGUCACUCAAGUCACCAUGGACUUUCUCAAUGUCCACAUAGAUUUUCUGGUCCAAACACUGCCACUCCAUUUGCUGGUGUACAUUAUGCUGCUGAUCCAAACUGGUACCCGGACACCGGUGCAACUCAUCACAUGACAGCCAUGCCCAUCAAUAAUUCUCAACCUUAUGGUGGGCCGCAUAAUGUCUAUAUGGGUAAUGGGGACUCAAUGUCUGUUUCCCAUACUGGUAACCUUCCUUUUUCAUUAGGCUCUUCCACCUUCACUCUACAAAAUGUCUUCCGUAUUCCAUCCAUUCGUAAAAAUCUUCUAUCUGUUGCUCGUUUCACUAAAGAUAAUCAUGUUUUCUUUCUCUUUGCACCUGACUUCUAUCAAAUCUAUUGCUUACGCACUGGAUGUCUAUUGUUUCAGGGCCCUUGUAAAGAUGGUUUGUAUCCGCUUAAUCUAUCAAGCUUCUCUACUUCUCCGCAAGCCCUUGCUUCCGUUCACUCCUCUAUUUGGCACAAUCGUUUGGGUCAUCCGUCAUCAAAUGUCUUCGCUCGUCUAAGUCCUACAAUUAAUUCCAAAUUGUCCUUUCCUUCUUUUUGUCGAGACUGUGCACUUAGCAAGUCUCACCAAUUACCUUUUAAUUCCAACAAAGAGACUGCUACCACUCCUUUUCAUAUUAUACAUAGUGAUGUCUGGUCCUCCUCUACCAUUUCUAUAAGUGGUUUCAAAUAUUAUGUUCUAUUUACUGAUGAAUUCUCACGCUACACUUGGAUUUACCCCAUGCGUCGCAAAAAUGAAGUCCUCACUCAUUUUCAAACUUUAGUUGCCAAGAUUCAAAACAUCUUUCACCACACCAUUCAAUUUCUUCAAAGUGAUAAUGGGACAGAAUAUGUCAAUAAUGCCUUUUCUCAUUAUUGUAAAGCCUUGGGAAUUCAACAAAGAUUUUCUUGCCCCCACACGCCACAACAAAAUGGCCUUGCCGAACGUAAGCACCGCCAUAUUGCUACAAUGACUCGCAGUCUCCUUCUCACUUCUGGUACUCCACAUAAUCUUUGGGUUGAAGUUGUUUUAACCUCUGUUUACCUUAUUAAUCUUCUUCCUACACCCACUCUGGAUUGGGAUACUCCACAUACUCGUCUUUAUGGUAGCCCACCUUCCUAUUCCUCUCUUCGGGUUUUUGGAUGUUCCUGUUUUCCUCAUCUAGGGUCUUAUGUCUCUGAUAAACUUUCGAGUCGUAGCAUUGAGUGUGUCUUUCUUGGUUGCAGUUCUCAACACAAAGGUUAUCGUUGUCUAGAUCCUACCACCGGUCGUGUCUAUAUUUCUAGGCAUGUUAUUUUUAACGAAACAAUUUUUCCUUAUAAACAGUUGCAGGCACAUUCAGUUUCUGACGCUGGCUCAUUGGAAUUCACACUUUUGUCUAGCUCAGAACUCCCACAGCUUGCUCCUUCUGAUCCACAUCCACCUGCUGAGAACAACUCUCCUUAUCUUGUGUCUCAACCAGAGCAGCAUGAAGUGGGUAUUGAAUUCCCGAUUACAGCAUCAUCAGCUCCAUCCCAGUCUCUGGCGCCCACCGCCGCCCCCAUCCUCACUUAUCAGCGCCGACGUUCAUUACAUCCGGUUACUUCACAGAUAGAGUCCACCUCUCUUCAGCCAUCUGCCCCUGAUGCAACUAUUCCACAGCUGGUCUCAAGUGAUCCUUCUCCUGUCUCUAAUCCUCCAGCAACAUCCACAUCUUCAUCACCUGCUCCUCCGUCUCUUCCUGCGCCGCCCUCUUCACCCAAGAGGACACGUUUACAGCAUGGUAUUGUGCAACCUAAAAUUCACACGGAUGGAACUAUCAAAUAUCCAAUUCCUCGUGCUCUCCUCACUGCCAUUGAAACUACAGAGCCCACAUGCUACACUCAAGCUUCUAAACAUGCGAUAUGGCGUGCUGCAAUGGCUGAUGAAAUCAAUGCUUUGCUGAAAAAUGAAACUUGGACAUUGGUUCCUCCUUCUUCCUCUCAAAAUCUUGUUGGCUGCAAAUGGGUAUUUCGAGUAAAGCAUAACCCAGAUGGCACAAUUCAACGUCACAAAGCACGACUUGUGGCUAAAGGAUUUCAUCAACAACAAGGUAUAGACUAUACAGAUACCUUUAGCCCUGUUAUUAAACCUGCAACUAUUCGUGUUGUGCUUUCUCUUGCUGUAUCUAGAGGCUGGUCACUACGUCAAUUGGACGUGAAGAACGCGUUCCUUCAUGGCCUUCUUAAAGAAGAUGUCUAUAUGACUCAACCACCGGGAUUCAUCAAUCAGUCACGGCCUUCUCAUGUUUGCAAGCUCAACAAGGCCAUCUACGGCCUCAAGCAAGCUCCCCGUGCAUGGUUUCACCGAAUGACAUGCUUCUUAUUAUCAAUUGGCUUUGUUCAGAGCUUGGCUGAUUCAUCUCUGUUUGUUUUCCAACACGAGUGUCAUACAAUUUAUUUUCUCCUCUAUGUUGAUGACAUUGUGGUCACCGGUAGUGAUGAUCGACUUUUACAAAGUUUUAUUGAUGCUUUAGGUCGGGGCUUUGACAUCAAAGAUCUUGGAAAUCUACACUACUUUCUCGGUUUGCAGGUUACAUCUCACAAUAAAGGUGUUCAUAUCAGUCAACUCAAAUAUGCAUAUGAUCUUCUCGUGAAGCAUGAUAUGCUGCUUAGUAAACCUGUGAGCACUCCGAUGUCAGCAAAGGAUACUCUCACUUCUAAUGAUGGUGCUCUCCUUCCCAAUCCAUCGGUCUUUCGGGAAAUUGUUGGAUCCUUACAGUACUUGACAAUCACUCGCCCUGACAUUGCCUUUGCUGUUAAUUCUAUUGCUCAGUUCAUGAGUCAACCACGCAUCCCUCACUUAAUUGCUGCUAAGCGCAUACUUCGCUACAUCAAAGGCUCACUUGAUCAUGGCUUGUUCUUUGGUCCUCAGCAUCAUCCUACUUAUCUUGCUGCCUAUGCGGAUGCUAAUUGGGCUGGUUGUUCAGAAUCUCGCCGUUCAACGUCUGGUUAUCUUGUUUAUCUUGGCACUAACUUGGUCUCUUGGUGCUCUAAAAAGCAACCUACCAUUGCUCGUUCCAGUGCUGAGUCUGAGUAUCGUUCUCUUUCCCAUGCUAGUGCAGAGACUACUUGGUUAGCCUACUUGCUCUAUGAACUUGGUGCUUGCAUUCAGUUUCCCAUUCUCUUGCAUUGUGAUAACCUCAGUGCUACGUACAUGGCUUCUAAUCCGGUAUUCCAUGCCCGCACCAAACAUAUUGAACUUGAUUAUCACUUUGUUCGUGAGAAGGUUGCACUUGGAAGCCAUCGUGUUUGCUUUAUCCCUUCCAUAGAUCAGCCUGCCGAUCUGCUCACCAAGCCUCUUCACAAGAAUCGUCAUGUUCUUUUUACUCGCAAACUUGUUCGUGCAGGCCCGCCAAGUUUGAGGGAGGGUGUUAGAGAGAUAUCCUCUGCUGAUUGUGUAACUGAAGAGAGAUUUCCUCUUCUCAAUCAAAACUGAUUGAGUAACCGAAGAUCAGUUUUGAUUCUUAGUAAUUAUAGUUUUUAAUGCUAUUUAUAAUUCUGGUAACAGUCAAACAAAUUCUGCUAUAUAUAUAGCUGUAUAUUGUAAACAGAGGUAAUAAGAAAAACCAUUUUCUACAAAA
rnacentral:lncRNA from 1 species